AUUGAUAGAUGAAUAAUCGUAUAAAGUCUUACAAUAUCUCCGUAUGCAAUGGUUCGAUUACAAGUAUGACAAACUAUGGGAAGAAUUGAACAUAUAAAGGUCAAAGGGGUCGCUAGGCAGAAGGAAGCCAUCCACGUCAUCUAUGAAUUGAACAUAUAAAGGUCGAAGGGGUCGCUAGGCAGAAGGAAGCCUUACACGUCAUCUAUGAAUAGUGGAGAGGAAACGAGCGGGCAGCCUGGGCAGCGAGCGAACGGACAAAAGGGAGCGAACGGAGCGGGCAGCGUUGGGGCAGCGAGCGAACGAAUGGAAAAGCAGCCAGACCUAGCCCGCGCCCCCGCAGCCGCCUCCUCUCCUUCUGCCUCCGCCUCCACCACCUCCUGCCUCUCCUCCUCCUGCGUAUCCUCGUCUCCUCCCUCUGCCUCUGUAAUCAACAGAAGGAGCCGGGUCGCUGCCCUCCUCCCCCACUUUCCACUCCCACCCUCCCCGCACAGCCGCUGCCUCUCCCUGCUCUCCCCAUCUCGCAGGAGCCGCCGCCUCUUCCCAUUUCCCCAUCUGGCAGCGAAGAAGAGGAUCGAUCAUGGGAGAGGGUGGGAGAUUGAGGAGAGAGAGAAACGAUGCAGAGGACAGGGGAUACAAGGUGGACGGAGGUUAGGCGUCGUCACCGGAGACGUGGAUCUGCGGUGCAGUGGGAGAGGUGACGCCGGCUGGUCGGCUACUCACCAGCGGCUGCUGUUUGGCGUUUUCCUAUUGGUGUGGCUUCAAGAUUGCUGCUCAUGUGCCUGGUCAUAUCAAAAGGGCAAAAUGAACUUGUGGCAAGGAUAUGCUUCUGUUAAGUUAAAGGGGUCAGGCCGAGCAGGAAUUCAAGGCGGAGGUGGAAGCCAUCAGCAGAGUGAGGCACAAGCACCUCGCCGGCCUCAUCGACUACUGCGCAGAAGGGCCUAAACGGUAAGUGUGCUUCUGCAUUUCGGCUAUAUCAUCGAACAUAUAAAGGUCGAAGGGGUCGCUAGGAAGAAGGAAGCCAUCCACGUCAUCUAUGAGGAAACGAGCGAGCGGGCAGCAUGGGGGCAGCGAGCGAACGGACAAAAGGGGAGCGAACGGAGCGGGCAGCAUGGGGGCAGCGAGUGAACGGAAAUUCACAAUUCAUACAAAGGAAUGACAUGCUUCCUGUUUUUACUCCACUCUUGGCCUGGAUCCAAAGCCCCCCUUAGGUUUUGGAUGUGCUCUCUUAGCGAUUUCCUUUUUCCUUGGGUUACACUAGCUGCACCCUCCUAUCUGUGACGCCGUGGCCCCAGAGUAAGGUGGUCAAGCGUGAGAUGUUAGAUGCCAAUGGGAUUCAGUAUUUAGUCCCUUCUAAUCGAGCGAAGAGGGACUGCUGGUUUUGUGGGAAUCCAUACUUUAACAGGGUUUCUUCCUGUUCAACAAAGUCAAGCACUACUCGUGUUCUUUCCUGGUAUGGCUUAUGUGACUACGAAGUGCAAUACUUUCUGUUAUUUCUUUGAUCCGCCAAUACUGUUAGGUUUCUAGCUAUAUAUAAUGAUUUCCUCCUCCCCUCCACUUCUCUACUCCUCUGCCCGCCCCCCGCGCAUGGUCGCCGUCGCUCAUUUCUUCCUCUCCCGCGUUCGUCCCGGCGGCGGUGACGACUUGCAGGCAAAGGCAACAGCGGCGACGCUCUACCAAUCCGCUCACGUCCUUGAGCCCCGCGCAUCUCCACUUUCUCUUUGUUUCUCUCCUCCUCUUCUCGAUCUCCGGCGCAUGGCCGCUGCCGCUCAUCGCUGGCAUCUUCAAGCAAUUAAUUCUCAAUCCAGAAAUAGGUUUCAGUCUGAUCUAAUCCAUUCAUCAUGCAUUAUUUUCAAGUUAUUUUUCUCCAACCAAAUCAGUGAUAAAAAUUCCAGUGAUCUGUGCAAAGUAUUUUGAACCAUUUGCAACUUUCCGUUAUAUCUUUUGUGGAAUCUCCAAAAUUGCAGAGCCCAUCGAAGGGAACCGAGACAACAGUUACCAAGGCCACAGGGAGUGGCUGGUGAUUACCAUUUCUCAGUGCGAUAUAUGUAUUUUGGGUAUGCUCUGGUUUACUGGUUAUUACUCCCUCUGUUCCUAAAUAUAAGUCUUUGUAGAAAUUUCACUAUGGACCACAUACGGAUGCAUGUAGAUGCAUUUUAGAGUGUAGAUUCAGUCAUUUUGCUCCGUAUGUAGUUUAUAGUGGCAUCUCUACAAAGACUUAUAUUUUGGAACGGAAGGAGUAGAUAUGAAGUUGAUUUUUGGUAUGUUUAUGUUUUCAGGCUGGGGUCAUUUUCCUUGGGCAGCUCUCACACCCAAAUCUUGUGAAGUUGGUCGGUUAUUGUUCCGAAGAUGAUCACUUGGUUCUUGUCUACGAGUUGAUGUCCCUAUGGAGUGUGUAAUCGCAUCUGUUUUCGAGGGUAAUGCUGCCACUGCCAUGGUCAACCACACUCGGGGCUGCAAGGGGGAUUGCCUUCCUGCACGAAGCUGAGAAGCCCGUCAUCUACAGGGAUUUCGAGACAUCCAACAUAUUGCCCGAUGAGAAGUACAAUGCGAAGCUCUCUGACUUCAGCCUAGCGAAAGACUGGACCGGUCAGUGACGAGUCACACAUCUUGGCCUGCAUCGUAAGCACCUAUGGCUAUGCCGCCACGGAGUACAUCAUGACAGGUAGGUAGCCAUCAUCUUGUCACUGAACUUGAAAGCAGAGCAAUGGGAAUUUUGUAUAUGAAUUCUGAUGUGUUGUGCCAUUGUGUUUCUAGUCUUUAUUGGUACACACAAAAAAGUAACUAGGAUUGGUAUGUAUAUGCAUCUCCUGUAUUGAUUACAGAUGCAAAUAGGCCUGCUGGAGCAGCUAAGGAAAUAGAGAGUUUUUUUUGUAUAAUUGUUUGCACUUCAUAAUAGCUUCUUUUUGGUACAAUUUAGGUUAGGGCACUGUGUUGACGCCUAUGCUUCCUUUAGUAUGAUGUAGGUUUAUAAUUUGGGAUCAUAUAUAUGUGCAGAUGGGUUGUCAUUCUUGUCACCGCUGUUAUGAUUUGUAGAUUGUAUAUUCAAAAUUCAUUGUUGUCUUAUUUUCCCCUGAUACCAAGACCAGUGCAUCACAAAAAUGUAACAUGUCAGGAAAUCAUUCUGUAAGAUAUUAUCCAUCCUAAGUUAUUAUUACCAUGUGAAAAGGUAGUCGUGCGGAAGAGCACAAUCUAUUAUUGUUGUGUCGUGUGCAUGCACACACAUACUCCGUACAAUGUUAAUCUAAUAGUGUUUAUUACCAUAUGAAAAAUAUCAUAACUUGACAUGUACAUAUUGAAAGG